AAAUUGAAGAGUUUGAUCAUGGCUCAGAUUGAACGCUGGCGGCAGGCCUAACACAUGCAAGUCGAACGGUAGCACAGAGAGCUUGCUCUCGGGUGACGAGUGGCGGACGGGUGAGUAAUGUCUGGGAAACUGCCCGAUGGAGGGGGAUAACUACUGGAAACGGUAGCUAAUACCGCAUAACGUCGCAAGACCAAAGAGGGGGACCUU
rnacentral:rRNA from 1 species